CCUACGGGUGGCAGCAGUAGGGAAUCUUCCACAAUGGGCGAAAGCCUGAUGGAGCAACGCCGCGUGGGUGAAGAAGGUCUUCGGAUCGUAAAACCCUGUUGUUAGAGAAGAAAGUGCGUGAGAGUCACUGUUCACGUUUCGACGGUAUCUAACCAGAAAGCCACGGCUAACUACGUGCCAGCAGCCGCGGUAAUACGUAGGUGGCAAGCGUUAUCCGGCUUUAUUGGGAGUAAAGGGAACGCAGACGGUCUUUUAAGUCUGAUGUGAAAGCCUUCGGCUUAACCGGAGUAGUGCAUUGGAAACUGGGAGACUGGAGGGCAGAAGAGGAGAGUGGAACUCAAUGGGUAGCGGUGAAAUGCGUAGAUAUAUGGAAGAACACCAGUGGCGAAAGCGGCUCUAUGGUCUGUAACUGACGCUGAGGUUCGAAAGCGUGGGUAGCAAACAGGAUUAGAUACCCUAGUAGUC
rnacentral:rRNA from 1 species